rnacentral:rRNA from 1 species
UACGUAGGGGACCAAGCGUUGUUUCGGAUUUACUGGGCGUAAAGGGGCGCGUAGGCGGCAAUUUCAAGUCAUCUGUGAAAUCUCCGGGGCUUUAACCCCGGAACGGUCAGAUGAUACUGCUUUGCUAGAGUGCGGAAGGGGGCAAUCGGAAUUCUUUGGUGUAGCGGUGAAAUGCGUAGAUAUCAAGAGGAACACCUGAGGUGAAGACGGGGUUGCUGGGGCCGACACUGACGCUGACAGCGCGAAAGCCAGGGGGAGCAAACGGGG